UAACAGGAAGAAGCUUGCUUCUUUGCUGACGAGUGGCGGACGGGUGAGUAAUGUCUGGGAAACUGCCUGAUGGAGGGGGAUAACUACUGGAAACGGUAGCUAAUACCGCAUAACGUCGCAAGACCAAAGAGGGGGACCUUCGGGCCUCUUGCCAUCGGAUGUGCCCAGAUGGGAUUAGCUAGUAGGUGGGGUAACGGCUCACCUAGGCGACGAUCCCUAGCUGGUCUGAGAGGAUGACCAGCCACACUGGAACUGAGACACGGUCCAGACUCCUACGGGAGGCAGCAGUGGGGAAUAUUGCACAAUGGGCGCAAGCCUGAUGCAGCCAUGCCGCGUGUAUGAAGAAGGCCUUCGGGUUGUAAAGUACUUUCAGCGGGGAGGAAGGGAGUAAAGUUAAUACCUUUGCUCAUUGACGUUACCCGCAGAAGAAGCACCGGCUAACUCCGUGCCAGCAGCCGCGGUAAUACGGAGGGUGCAAGCGUUAAUCGGAAUUACUGGGCGUAAAGCGCACGCAGGCGGUUUGUUAAGUCAGAUGUGAAAUCCCCGGGCUCAACCUGGGAACUGCAUCUGAUACUGGCAAGCUUGAGUCUCGUAGAGGGGGGUAGAAUUCCAGGUGUAGCGGUGAAAUGCGUAGAGAUCUGGAGGAAUACCGGUGGCGAAGGCGGCCCCCUGGACGAAGACUGACGCUCAGGUGCGAAGCGUGGGGAGCAAACAGG
rnacentral:rRNA from 1 species